AAUAAUUUUUAGAUAUUUGUUGAAGUAUCUUUUUUUAUUCCUGAGCUAGACCACUCAGUGUUGGAAAAAUUGAAUUGUAUUUUAAUUUUUAUACAUAUUCCUCAAAUGUGAAUUAUUUUGUUUCUUUUGUACUGCUAUUUACAGAAAAAUGUUGACUUCUUUGUCAGGGAGAAUAAAGGGGAUUUAUUUGUCAUUAAGGAUAUUUUAUCAGAUCACAUAAGCAUUUGGCAUUACUUAUGCUUUAAGAAGUUGGUUUAAUUAGCACUGAUUUCUUUUAAUUGGCUAGCCUUUCAUAUCUUUUCUAAGGGAUUAACUGAAUUGUAUUCAUUGAGGGAGGGCGGGGAUGGAGAUAAUAGAUGACUUCUCUUGAGACAACUGUAUUAAAUUUUAAAUCUGUUUAGUAAUAGAUGAAGACUAUCAACAUUUCAUAUAAGAAAAUAUUAAAUAUUAUAUUUUUGAAGAAGUAAAUUAUUGUAAAUCAGUAACCACAGGAGUUAUAUAAAUAACUGUACACAUUUGUGCCUUCUCACUUCUAGCUUGAAUAUUGAAAUCUUAUUGUCAAUUGCUUGGAAAAUUUUUAUUUACGGAGACAAUUCAUAUUAAAAUUUUUACCUUAGAGCAGUGAUGGUGAACUCUUUAGAUACUGAGUGCCCAAACUGUAACUCAUUUCACAUGAGCCCCUGCCUUACCUCAAAGAGAGGAGGGAAGAAGGGCUCCCAAAGGGGCAGAGAGGCUAGUCAUGUGAAAAAUGUUCUCAGAUGUGCAUAGAGAUGGGGAGGGGAGCAGCCCCAUUCUGCACCUUGCCAUGGGUUCGCUAACAUAUCUUAAGAGGGUCAUUUAAACCUUUUAAGUAAAUCUUUUCACCAGGCUUUUGAAGGAUUUAUUCCAAUUGUACAAGUAAAUAAGCAUCUUUUUUGAAAGGUAAUGUGAGAUGUAUAUCUAAAUAUUUACACCAUCCAAUUUUCAUUUAAUAUGUUUAGUUGUUGAUUGGUUAAUGUCCUAUACUCAUUAGGGCAAAGAGUAGUGAUGAGAUAUAGACCUCAUUAGAUUUUGUAAGAUGAUGAGGUUUUCCCAAUGUUGAGCUUCCUGGACCAGGGUGGAAAAAAUUAAAAGUAACUAGGUUUGAAAAUGAGAUGGUCUUGCUGAGCCCCUAACUUAAAUGGAGGUUUUGGGGUUCAUCUCCCUCUAAUCAGAGGAACAGAUGGUACCGAUGAGAUAUGACUACACGGGCUGAUAUUGUAAGAUGAUAACAUUUUUUCCAAUGAUGACCUUUUGUGAACAUGGCCAACAAGUCAGAGAAAGUCUCAAAAUAGUACAUUCAGAUAGGAAAUGCGUGAUUUUGAGAUUUCUUCAUUGUGCCCUCCCCCUGGGGUAAAUGUAAGAACAGUGCCUGACACUUGACAUUUGCUUGACAUCUACCUGUUCAUUAACUAUUUGAUCACUUGUUUCAUAGCAGUGGGAUAUUUUGAUGAUAUAAAGCAGUUUGAAGACUCAAGAGACCUAGGUUAUGAUUUUUAUUCUUUCUAUAACAUAUCAGAAAAAUAUCAAAACCAAUGACUUGCUAUUAGAUUAUUACAGUUUGAUUGUAUUUGAUUGCACAUAGCUAUCAUGAAUUCAGUAAGUUACAAAUGAAUUUGUAUUUAUUAAAUCAUAAUUAUGUCCAUAUAUUUGAAAAAUCUUUGUUUGAAUGAUUCAGAUCACAAAAAGUAGUUAUGCUUAUAUAACAAUCAUACUAAAUAUCUUUUUGGAAAUAAGGAACAAAAUUAUAAUGCUUAGAGUACCUUGUCUGGUCCCUUAUUAAUUCCAAAGCCUACAGAUUAUGGAAGCUACUUUGUUAGACCAGGUUAUUAGAAUCUAAAACCCCUUUGAGCUCUAAUCUUCUAAUAACAUUGUGAAUUCUACUCUUUAUAUUUUAUUCUUUUUAGUUACACAAGCCAGUUACAGUCUUGGAAUCUUUGACUUGUUUCUCUUCUACUUUUCCCUUAUUUAGUUUCCAAGUUUUUUCCUUUUAAAUUCCUUUCACUCCGUUUCUUUGACAAUAAUCACUAGAUAUUUUAUAGCAGUUUUUAGAAAGAUUAUAUGUUUUAACUUACUCAUGAACUUUGUAUGUUUAUGUAUGUAUAGGCAGCACUGCUAGAUCCUAUAAAGAAAUUCAGAGUUUAGACAGAUAUUCCUGUCCUCGUUUAACUUACAGUCUAUCUGGGGAAUAAGAAGUUAAUCAUAAAUAUUUAUAUUACCUUCUAACUGCAUAGGAGUGCUAUAAUCUUUGUGCUACAUGAAGUUGGACUAAUGAGAAACAUUUCCCAGGUGAAACUUCUUAAUCAUGAUAUAGAAAACAUGGUAUAAUAGAUAAAAUGCUGACUUUGAAGUCAUAAAGGUGUGGGUGGGGUCAGAUCAUUUCAUUGACACUAGCUCUUUGACCCUGUGCAAGUUGCUUAACCAUCCCUAUUAUUUUUUAAUUCCUAUAAGUUAAUGAUGGUGUGAUGAAAUAUUACUUUAAGGCAUAAAUAAAUAGGAAUUUGGCAGUUGUAGAAGUUUAGUGCCUUUGAAUGAUUUAAAGAAGAGAAGAAUAUGAGGGGGGAAAUAACUGUUCAGAAGAGAGUAUUAUUAGAAAUGGAGGAAAACAAUGAUUUUUUUAAUUUUUGCCAAAUGGAAAAAUGCUAUGAAUGACAAACCAAAGAAUUUUAAUUUGACUUGAUGGUCAUUUUGAAAAAUUUUGAGCAAAAAAGAGACAUUGGAUAUGUAAGAAAGCUCUUGCUGCCUGGGAUUAAAGUCCUAAAAUUCAAACAUUGCUGGAAAUUGGCUUCCAUUUCUUAGAACAGGGAGAAUGAUAUAUAGUUAUAAUUUGCCUAUCAUGUUUUAUUUAUAUUAACAAGGAAUAAUUUCCUUUGAAUAUAGUAUGAAAAAUAGAAUUGCCACUCAUGCCUUUUUAUUUCCUAUGUUGUCCCUCAUUGGGACAUUUUUGGUAUUUUGGUAAUGGUGUUCAAAAGCUUGAAGUAGAAAUCUCCAAUAUCUCUUAUCUCUAUUGCUCCCCAAAAUUUCAGAAUUCUCUAUCCUCCCCCUUUCAGCCUUUCAUGUUAAAAGCAAAGAUGUACUUGGAUCAGAGGAAGCAUUUUUUUUGUUACUUUAUUCAUUAUAGGAAGCACUUUAAACUAGUCUGAGAAGCUGUCUUUUGGUAUGUAGAAACAAUUUUGUCUAAUUCAGCCUUUGUAAUAGUACUUGUUGCAAUAGCUACUCAGAUUUCUAAAUGCAAAACUUGGAGGGUAUUUGAAUUAUUUAAUUUUUAAAUUUUUUAUUUAUAGAUGUUAUCAAAUUUAAUUGAUCCAACUGACCAUUCUUUAAAACCACCAUUUUUCUACAACAUGAGUCUUUAUUCGAAUUAAUCUUAAUCUUUUAAGUAUUAUUAUAGUUACUACUUUUUAGUUUGAACUAGUGAUUCUUAAUCUAUCAAUACUAAAACUGCUUUAUGAAAUGAAAUUCAUCAAGUACAUUUACUUCCAUCUAAUUGUUCAAAACCAAAAAAGCCUAAACUGGAGAGAAGAUAUUCCUUUUAUGUGAGUUGAUAAUUAGAAAUAUAAUUAAUAAUAAAUUAACAAGAAGGUUACUUAAAAAGCAAUGGUUAUAUAGACAUGAUGGUUAUCAAGAGCUUGUAACAUUUCUAGCUGAGAAUUUUACAAAAGAAUAAAAACAUUCUGAGAGAUUGUAAUAUGCAUAGAAGGUUGUCUAAAGCAGUGGAUAAUUUCAGGUGCUCCAUUUGUGGUUCCUAUAACAUCAAAAGAACUAGAAUUUGUGUGAGGAAAUGGAUCACACAGAAAGAAAGGAUGUGGAUGGAAUAUGAUCUGUUUUGUGUGAGCUAUUGAGUUUGACAGUUUUGUGUGUAUUAUUUGAUUAGAUCUAUCUAUCUGCUAUCUUGUAAGACAAGUAGUAUCUGAAAACACAGAAGUAAAGUGUUUUGUCCAUGAUUACUUAGGUCCAUCAGUUUCCAUGACUUAGAAUUGGAACCCAUUCUUAUCCCUAUUAGACAUGAGACCCAUUCAUGCUAAUAUGAGCAUUUAUUUUAUAAUGAGGAAAGCUUGCAGUGUUUUAGUUAUAUUCGUGUUAUAUUAGUGUAGACUGGUGAUGCCAGCUACAUGGGGUGUGUUUUUACUUCAAGAAAUACAUAUUAAGAUAUACUGUAUGUCAUAUAUAUAUAUGUAUAUAUAUAUAUAUAUAUAUAUAUAUUCAGGGUCUCACAGUAGACAUGCAUCCUAGGGAAAAUUUGAACUGAGGUCUUUCUGGCUGAGUCUGACUCUAAUUAUGAAACAAUUACAACAAAGUAAACAGGGAAAACAAACAAAAAAAAACCCAAUAGAAAAAAUAAAAGAGAAGAAAGGGUAACUAAAAACUGUGUAAUUAUAAGGUCAAGGAUGACCCUACCAAAAAAUGAGAAAGAUUUCUCUUUCUCCUCUGCAAUUGUCUACAUAGAAGAGUAUAUAUUGCAGUGAUGGUGAACCUUUUAAGAGAUGGAAUGCCAAGUCCUUCCCCCACCCCAGAGACUGCAUGUCAUGUCCCACCCCACACCAGGUGCCAGGAGCACUCUGUGCCCUUUAUCCCACACAGGGGAGGGAAAAAACCGCUCCCAUUCGGCUGCUGGGCGGGGGCUGGGAGUGAAGAACGUGGUGCCACAUGCCCACAGAGCAUCUAUGUGCCAUCUUUGGUACCUAUGCCAUAGGUUUGCCAUCACAUAGAUUGCAUAUGCUAUGGGAUAGUGGAUGUUCUGGUUACAUUUGUUUAGCUCAUCGCCAUCCUCUUAUUUCAUUAAUCUUUAUUACAAAAGGUUAUCCUAAAAUAAAAAGCAUAAGCAAGAUUAUUUUUUAAAAGGCAGUCAGUGGUACAGCAUAAAAACAUGAGACUCUAAAUCAGGAAGAUCUGGGUUCAACUACCCCUAUCACACAUAGUUGAAGGUCCCAAGAGCAAACCAUUUAAUUUCCUAGUUCUCUAAACAACUGUCUAAGUUGCAAAAAAGGUGAAGCAAAUGAGGAAGUCUGAUGAAGAAGCACCUUUUACCAAGGCAGAAAACAAUCUUUGCUUCUUAUUGAAAACUGUAAUUGGGACAGCUAGGUGAGUAGAGGACCUGGAUUCAAAUCUAAUCCUGUCAAUGGAAUCUCAGAUACUUUGUGCAAGUCACUUAACCAGAAGGCCCUUACUGCUCUUCUUAGAAUUGAUACUUUGUAAGAAAGUCAAUUAUAAGAAAAGUAGAAUGACUAGAUUGUACUUUUUCAGAACACUGCACAUGCAAUGAUACAAUUAAAAAAAAUUUUUUUAAUUACAAAAAUCAUGCUUAUCUAGCAAAUGACCAUUAUAUACAAACACUGAUUAAAAAAGGGACUUGGACAACAGAAAAUACAUACAGAGAAUAUGUAACUAUGUGCAAUGUGAUAAUUUGGCCUAAAAUUAGCAAACGGAAUAUUCAGAAGCUAGGUGGCACAGUGAACAGAGUACUGGACUUGGGUGAUUAGAAAAUGUAGUUAUAAAUAUUGCCUCAGACCCAUUUCCUCAUCUUCAAAAUGGGGAUACAAAAAGUACCUACCCUACAUCACAUGGUUGUUGUGAGGAACAAAAUAUAUAUGUAAAAGUGCUUUUAAAAACCUUAAAGCAUUAUAUAAAUGCUAGCUAUAUUAUUAAUACAUUAAAUCUAAAUAAGUGAGCUUUUGAUGUCCUAGGUGAUAUCAGUGGGGGGAAAAUAUUACUUUUCCUCUACAGAAAUUUCAUUUUAGCAAACAAAGGCAUUUGAAAUCAGUUCAUAUACCAAAAGCAAAUUUGGCAGCACUCUUGGGGUGGUGGGGGACAGCCCAGAGGUCCUGGGUUCAAAUCUGUCCUCGGGCACUUCCUAGCUGUGACCCUGGACAAAUCACUUAGACCUCACCACUCUUCUGCCUUAGAACCAAUAACAUAUUGAUUCUAAGACAGAAGGUAAGAGUUAAAAAUAUAUAUGUAAUAUAAAAUAUAUAUAUAGCAAACUCUCAAUGCCAUAGAGAACAUUCUGAGACUAAGUUGUUGAGAGCUUGCCAAACUUACAUAUGAAGAGGGGAAAGAGGGGUUCUAUGUCAAGGAGUUCCCUUUAUCAGUAAUCACUCUAGCAAUUGUUUUUAUCUUGUUUUCUGAUUUCUGUCUUGCUUAUCCUCAUCAGUUCAUCUGAGUCUUCUUGUGUUUUUUGAACAUUCCAUUAUAUUAAUUUCAUUAUGUAGUAAUCUACAAUUCAACCAUGUUUGCUUCUAAAAAUAGGGCAUAGAAGAGCCUUCUCUUCCUUUGAACUUCUGAGUUAUUUACUAGCAAUGUUUUAUGUGUUAAAACAGUUAUGACUCAAACAGUUCAUAGAUCCACUACACACUAGAUUGAUAUGUCUCCCUUUCCAAAGUUCCUCCAACAUUGACACUUUCAUCCUUUUUUUUUAUCUUUGCCAAUUUUCUAGGUAUGAGAGAAAACUUUAGUUACUUUGAUUUUCAUCAUUUAGUCUUUCAUAUGACAUCAAAUACUUGGUUCAUACCCACUUUUCCAUUGGUAUUAUCUGUUUUACUUUAUGCUCAGAUAGACUCUUAGCAAGAAUAAUUAUUGUAAAAACUCCCCUUUACUGCAUUUUUACUUAAUCUUAUCAUUAUUAUUAAUUAAUUUCAUUAUGUGUUAACUUUCAAUUAAGUAAUUUUUUGCUUCUUAAAAAUAUUUUAUUGUAUAGAGGACCCUUGUUAACACUUCUCCAUAUGGCCAUGGCCAUGUAAUAUAGGAUAUCCUGCACUGUCUUCUCAUUGUUCAUUGUUGUACCUUUUCAAGAGAGGGGGCAGCUGGAUAGCUCAGUGGAUUGAGAGUCAGGCCUAGAGAUGGGAGGUCCUAGGCUCAAACCUGCCCUCAGACACUUCCCAGCUGUGUGACCCUGGGCAAGUCACUUGACCCCCAUUGCCUAGCCUCUUCUGCCUUGGAGCCAAUAAUACACAGUAUUGAUUCCAAGAUGGAAGGUAAGAGUUAGGGAGGGAGGAAGGGAGGGAGGGAGGAAGGAAGGAAGGAAGGAAGGAAGGAAGGAAGGAAGGAAGGAAGGAAGGAAGGAAGGAAGGAAGGUAGGUAGGUAGGUAGGUAGGUAGGUAGGUUGAGACAUCCCAUCACCUAAAACAAUAAAUAAUAUUCCACUAUCGCAUUCCUGUAUCUAUCCUUGUUUUUAGUUUUCCAACAUUUAUUUUUGUUUUGUGAUGAUGGUUCUUGCUGCUAUUGCUUUCAUAGUACACAUAUUUUCCUGUGGAUCUAAAUGCAUUUUGUGUCAGCUUAUGAAAAAUUUUCUGUGCUUUUUUCGUAUUCACCAUAUUGUCUUUUUUCCCAGCAGAGUUACUAUUUGGUUAUUUCAUGUAUUUUUAAACCCAUUCUCUAAUUCAUGACAAUAUGUACUUUGUUUCCAGUUCUACAAAAAGUGCUGCUAUAAAUAGUUUAAUGUUUGGGGCCUUUCUUUUUAAUUACCAGUUAGUCACUUGAUAUUUGAAAAUAUUUUCCAAAAAGGCUAUUACCAUAGCUCUACUAAUUCAGUGCUCUAGUGUGCCUUCCAUCUUCUAUAAUUCCUUGAUUAACUGAUACCAUCUUUUGUUCACGCCAGUAUGCUGAGUGUGAGAUGAAAUCUCAGAGAUGUUUCAUUGACCUUUCUCUUAAUAUUAGUGAUCUGGAGAACUUUCAUAUAGUAAUCAAUAUUUGGGAGUUUUUGUUUUUAAGAACUGUUAUAUCUUUUGAAUCUUUCAUUUGUGACCUUCAUAUUGGUAUUGUGCAUUAAUUUUAAGCUUAUUUUGAUACAUAGUAUAUAUUAUGCCCAUCUAUCUGUCAAAUGACCUUCCAGUUAGUUCUAGCAUUUUUUUUUUCAAUCAGGGAAUUUUCCUGCAUAUAGAAUAUGAACUCCUUUGGAAUAGGGAUUGUUUCAUUUUUAAUCCUUAUAUAUGCAUGGUGUCUAGAAACAUAAUAGGAAUUUAAUAAAUAUUUGUUGAUUGAUUAAUUGGAUUUAUAGAAGAUUGUAAGUUUUUGUUUCUGAUCUUUAGUCUGUUAGGAAAAGAUAAAUAGCACUUUUGUUGUUGUUUAUUUGUUUUCAGCUCUUUCCAGUUCUUUGUGACUCCAUUUUGGGGUAGAUAAUAGUUAAAUGACUUGCCCAGGGUCACAUUAUGUAUGUAUCUGAGGUCAGAUUUGAACCCAGUUGUUCUUGGUCCACGCAUAGCACUCUGCCCACUGUGUCACCUCAUUGCCCCAAAUAGCACUUUAGAUUUAUAAUGUGAUUUAUCAGUUAACAUUCUUGGCAGGGAACAGAAUACAGCAACUUAUUCCAGUUAGGUAAAUAGGUGAUUUAGAUGUAUUCAUAAAUUCUACUCAAAAGCUGCUACCAAAUGAUAGGGGGAAAUCAGACUUACUUAUUUAUUUUAUAACUUUAAUUGAGGAUUGCCUUGCAUUUCUUAUGAAAUCCAAAUCUGAUGUAUGACAUUAUGGUUUCUAUAGUAAUCAAUUCUGAAGACAACACACUGAGUAACAGUGAAAAUCUUACUGAAUUUAAGCAAUAAUAGAAAGAAAACUAUUAUCUUUAAUGGCAUGCUUUGGAGUGAUGAUUCUUUGCUAAAGAUAUUAAAAUACUAUUAGUAUUUCAUAACUUUUUAUGUAAUGUGAGCUUUUAAAAAUACUAGGCAAAAUUCUUUAAGAUGAUUUUUUUAGUUCUACCAAACUCAGAUUUAUAAUUGUUCUUACAUAAAAUAUACCACAGUAAGUUCAUUGAUCAUUGCAAUACCUUCCCUCUUUCCCUCUUCUUUGCAAAAGAAAUAAUUUUAACAUUAUUUUAUAUGUAUUACAUAUAUCAUAUAUCUAUGUAAUAUAUCUAGAAUUCUAUGUGACUGCUUAGGCUAAAUAUUAUUGAGAAUCAUUAUAUUUAAGGGGUUUUCUAUAUUUCCAACAGAUUCUCUUUUCUUAUCUAUUUCUUCGAAUUGCAAAAUAGAUCUUUUAGCAGAUUAUCACUUGGAAAGCAUUUCUUCAAACUAUGAAGAACUGUUUAACUCUUGGUGGUCUUUUUUUACAUAAAGAAUCAAAAUAUUUUGCUUCAAAUAUUCCAAGGCAGUGAGCAUCCAGAUCAUUGGAAGUGUCAUUUGUUAAGGAAUUUUUAUAUCCGUUUUUUUAACCUUCAAAAUUAUGCAUUUAGCAUACUUGGAGUAAGGUCCUUUGAAAAGAAUUUGGCUCUAGUGAUACUUGGAAAUGUACUAGCAGUGUUUCCUUUUACACUUACAGGUGGAGAGGAAUGAGACCGGGGUGAGGGAGGUUAUCUUAUCUGUCCAAUAUAUCUGUAAAGAUUUUAAGAACUAGAAUGAGCCUGAGCAAUUUUUUACUGAAAAAAAUGAAAUACAGAAAAACUAAAUGAGGGCUUUCUGCCACAUAGUCUACCUUCGGACAUAUUGGUCAGAAGUUAACCCUCUCUGGCUGCAAAAGUGUCAUUUUGCUAAAGUUUAUAAUUUCUUCACUAGAAUAAUCAGAAUUUGAAGCCUAAAAAUGACCCUCCCUUUUCUUUAAAAAAAAAAAAAGGAAAGGAAACAGAGGCACAAAGAAGUGCAAUUACUGUCCUAUCCCAGCUGUUCAAUAAUCAGACUGACUUUUGCCCUGUGUUCUCAUAUUGAACCAGAAAAACAGAUGAUUGAGGGAGAAUGGAUUGGGGGGGGUGGGGGUUACUCUUCAUUAGAAUUCUAAGGGUAGCAAAGAGGGAAAAGGUAACAAACCUCAAAUAUGUUUCUAUACCUGAAUUCACAUCUUUCUGAGGCACAGAUAUAUGUGUGUACUGAGACCAGAGCAAGGAUGCAAGCUGGAAAAAUAACAUUCUGGAAUAAUGCUAUUCCAGUUAAAAUUUUGUGUUGGUUUCUUCAGUUAGUAAUGAGAAAUUAUAUUUAAGUUAUUUUUGAUGAAAGAUUUACUUAUUUAUUCAAUUGAGUGUUAAAGUCAGGACAAUAAAACCUAUAGAGUUUGCCAGUAUAUGUAUAGGAUUAUAGAACUUGGAUUUUUUUUUUUUAUUUCACUGACUUUCGUUGAAUGAUUUCUUAUUAGUAUUUUGACACUACUUAAUUUUAGUACAACCGUAUUUUAAAUUGCUGUUAUUUGACUAAAAACAUUUUAUAUACUUCAGAAUGAAUUGAGAGAGUAUAAAAGGUAUAUUUAAGUCAUACUAUUUUAAUUAGCUUUGUGAUAUCAAAAUUCUUUUAAAAUAAAAAGUACUCUAUGGUUUAUGAUGGAAUAGACCUAGUUAAAGGAUAAUCUUUUUAGAAAGCAUUUUAUAUCUGCUGGUGUAUAAUACAGUUUAUUAAUUAAGAUGUAAUUUUGUUUUUUAUAAAGCAUAAGUAUGCAAAAAGAUAGGAAAGGCUAUAUAAAGAUAUUUAAAUAAACUUAAAAAAAACAUUGAAAUCUGAUAGGCUAUCUCUCUUUUUUAAAUUUAAAAUUUUUAACUGCAUUUCUUUAUGAUUUAUAAUUGUCUUAAAAUUUUAUAAUCUAGAGAGGGGGAAAUUCAACAAAACUAUCCAUUAGUCAAGCCAAGGAACAAAUGGAUUCUUAUCAUUUACUUUUUCUUUUGUGCAUUAUAAUUUCAAUAUGCUUGAAUUUCCUUCAAAUAAGGACCCAUAAAUCUGUUUUAUUCCUCUGAAAGUGUCUGAUAGACCAGGUUCAAUGCUUUUGAAAUGUAUGUAUUCUGUAUUUUUUUGUUUUUUGUUGUAUUUCCACGGCUUAGCAUGUAGUAAAUACUUGAUAAAUCAUUGUCUGUUUACUGAUUGAAUUGUUUAAACAAAAUCUGUGCUUUAAAUUUUUAUUUUUUAGUAACCUUCACAAGCAAUGUGUGUUUUUUGGAUCAAUUUCUCUUUAAAAAAAAAUACAAAUGCAUUGUUCACACUAAGAGCACCCAGGAGUCAAAUUCUUUGUAUCUUUUUACAAACUUAACCAUGUCCGCACCUUUCAUCUAAUGAUUAUCAUUGUACUCAGAGUGAUCAUAACCAUACCAUAGUUUUGAUGUCCUUCCAAAUCCUUGUGUUUGAAGUGAUUGUCUAUUCCCUCUAAGGGUAAGUUAAUUACUCCAACUGUCAUAUGAAAUAUUAAUUUUAUUUUAUUUUUUUACCAAGAGGACCAAAUCAGAAGUUGUAAAUGGAAAUGGAAGUUACAAACAAUCAGAUUUAGCAAAUUCUGUCAAACAUUUAAAGAACAAUAUAUUCCAAUCCUCUAUAAAUUAUUUGAAGCACUACUAAACUCCUUUUAUGCCACAAAUAUGGUUUUUAAACUUAAAACAGGUAGAGCAAAACCAAAUAAAACUAUAGUCUACUUUCCUUAAUGAAUAUUGAUACAAUAAUUUUUUAAAUACCAACAAAGGAACUACAGCAAUAUAUCACAAAGAUCAUACACAAUUACUGGGUGGGAUUUAUACCAGGAAUAUAAAGAAAACUAAAAGUAUUACUGACCAUCUUAAAUAGCACAUCACAUAUGAUCAUGUAUUAUAAUCAUCCAUAGUUAAUGAAAAAGCUUUUGACAAAAUAUAAAACCCAUUCCUAUCAAUCAUGUCAGAAUGCAAGCAUUCCAACAGGAAUAAACUUUGAAGAUUCCCAAUAAGAUCAGGGGUGAAGCAAAUAUAUCCAUUUUUAGUACUAUAAUAGUAUUGUACUGAAAAUGCUAACAUAGCAACAAGACAAAAAGAACUUGAAAGAAUUAGAAUAGGCAAUGGAGAAGCAAAACUGAAAAAAAAAAAUUCUAUAUAAUACUAACAAAACCCAGCAGGAAGAAAUAGAGAGAUUUAAUUUCAAAUAAUUGCAGAUAGUAUAAAAUACUCAGGAGUCUACCUGACAAGAAGUGUCCAAGAACUAUGUGAACACUAUUACAAAAUAUUUUUCACAGAAAACAAGAAAGCUCUAAACAAUUCAAGAAAUAUCAGUUGCUCAUGAGUAGACCCUACCAUUAUAAUAAAAAUGAUAGCUCUAUUGAAAUUAAUUUAAUUAGCUUUGUACUGAUCUAGCUAGAAAACGAAUGCUUAGUAGAGCUAGAAAAUAAUUCCUUUGGAAGUAUAAAAGUUCAAGAACAUGAAGAGAAUCAGUUUUUUAAAUUGUGAAAGAAAGCUUAGCAAUAACCAGAGUUCAAUCGAAGUACUAGUCAUUGAAGCAUUCUGAUGCUGGCUAAGAAAUAGAAUAGUGGAUUAAUGAAAAAGAUUAGGUACACAAUAUACAGAAGUAAAAUAGCCAUAGUUAUGUGACAUUUGAUUGACCCACACAUCAAAACUUUAGGAGCAGAAACUCACUGUUUACCAAAAACUACUAGGAAGACUAGAGAACAGUUUGGGCAGAAUCUAGAUAUAGACAAACGUCUCACACUGUAUUUCUAGCUAAAGUCAAAAUAGAAACAUGAUUUAGACAUGAAGGGUGAUGAUAUAAGCAAAUUAGAGGAAUAUCAGAAAAUUUGUCAGAUCUAUAGACAGAGAUCGCAGGAAAGUUUCUGACCAAAUGAGAUAGAGAGGAUCUUCGCAGGUAAAUGGAUAAUUUUGUUUGUAUUAAAAUUAAAAUUUUUUUUGCAAAAGCAGAAUGUCAAAAAUGAUUUUGAAAUAUUUGAAUUUUUUAGAAUGAUGAAUGGGAAAUGAUUUAUGCAAAACAAAAGUAACACCAAGAAAUCUGAUAUGAAUUAGUUUGUCAGACAAAUUAGAAAAUUUAUUUAGCUGAGAAAUAAUUUGCAUCACUAUUUUACAAUUUACUUUUUCUGGAACUCUUCAGAGUGAACUAUGGCUUAAAAUGGUAAACUUCAUUUGAAAGAAAUUAUUAAAAUAUGGAUAUUGAAAAUGAAUCAUUUUUGGAAUUAGAUAACCCAGUAAACACACCUUCUCUUUGAAAAAGAGGUUUUCUUGCACUAUUAUACUCCAAUAUAAAUCCUUUUAAUAAAGUAGUAAAUGUCCUCCAUCUAAUAAUAAUAAUAAUAAUAAUAGCAACUCAAAAUUUCAUAGGACUUAAGGUUUAUAUUGUGCUUUCAUUAAUCUAAGACGUGUGACAAACUGUUCCACAAAUCUCCCCUCUCAUAUUUCUCUGAUACUUUUAAUACUUCAAAGUAUUUCUUGCAUAGCUCAACUAGAUCACAAAAUAUAUAUGCAUAUAUACAUAUGCAUACAGAUACAUAUAUGCACAUAUAUGUAUGUGCUAUAUGUAUGUAUACCUGCUGAACAGCCUUUGAAAUUAGUUAGGUUGUCUCCAGAGUAGCUAGGCUUGAAUUUAAUUCAGUAAGCAAUGUUAAGUACCCAAGAUCACUUUAUCUUAUGUCAUCUUCCUCCAUUUCAUCCAAAUUUAUUGGAAAGAUUAUCUGUAAUUAUUACCUACAUUUCUUUAGUUGCCUGCUCAACCUCUUAAAAUAUGACUUCUGACAUCAUCAUCACAUUAAAAGUGUUUUCUCCCAGUUUUCCAGUGAUCCUUAACUACAAAAUCCAGUGAACUUCUCUUCUUUGUGCAUUUUGGUGGACACUAGCAAAUACUUUACCUUCUGUAUACUUAUUGCUGUACCUUGGCUCUUGACCUUUCUAAUCAUGCCAUGUCAGUCUCUUUUGUUGUAUGUUCUUUUUCUUGAUGCAUACAUAGAGUGGUCAUAUGAAAGACUUUUAUAUAUGUAUAUAUCCUUUUCUUGUUGUACUAUCUCUCUUGUGUGAUCUCAUUACAAGAAUUAUUGGGAGACAGGUUGGUGAGUAUUCUCCUGGGCUCAAUUUUUUUUAUCACCAAUUGUUUCCUGCAUAUUUGCAUGUGAACACCUUAGAGUUCUUAAAUUGAAUAUAGCUCCUCCAAAAUCCAUCUACCUUCCUUCAUGUUCACACCUAUCAUUUUCCAAUGAUAGGUGACUAGUUUCCAAUUAGUAUGGAUAAGGAAUUCCUUGAAAUAGUGCAUUAUUUGUAUUUGCACUGCAUACUUCAUUGAAUUGGAGCCAAUUAUAUCUCAUGUAAUUAGACUUUUAGUGAAAAUUUGAUACCGGGAUUACAGAUUUAUAAAGUGAUUUACAUGUUGUAUCAUGUGAUUCUCACAGCAAGGUAGGUGGGGGUGCUGUUAUCACUAUUUUGCAAAUGACAAACUGAGGCUAAGAGAGGUUAAAUAAUUUCACAUAGGUAAAGAUUUUUGUAGAUAACUUGUUUUUGUAUCAUUUACAUUUCCUUCCAUUAUUACUCCCCACCUUUGCAUACUACCAAAGGAGAGAUGAAAAAAAGUUUAAAAAUUUAGUGGACCUAUAAAACCCCUUUAUCUCCUCCAUAGGAGAUGGAAGAAAAUGUCUUUGGGGCCAAAUUUGGCCUUUACUUUGUCACAAAGUUGUUAUAUUCGUGUUGUUAUAGUCAUUGUUUAUAGUCCUUUCCUGGUUAUGCUUUAAUUUACAUAACUUUAUUUAAAUAGAUUUAUGUUUUCUGCUUUCUUUUGAAUUCACCCUUCUAGCCCAGUAAUAUUCCAUUACAUCCAUAUAAAAUUGUAUUAGCAGCUCAAAAAAAAAAAAGACUGAACA